UACGUAGGGGGCGAGCGUUGUCCGAAGUUACUGGGCGUAAAGCGCGCGUAGGCGGGUCUCUAAGUCUGGUGUGAAAGGUUCAGGGCUCAACCCGAAGAGUGCACUGGAUACUGGAGACCUUGAGUUGGGCAGAGGAGAGUGGAAUUCCUGGUGUAGCGGUGAAAUGCGUAGAUAUCAGGAGGAACACCGAUGGCGAAGGCAGCUCUCUGGGCCCAAACUGACGCUCAGGUGCGAAAGCGUGGGGAGCGAACGGG
rnacentral:rRNA from 1 species